UGAGGAAUAUUGGUCAAUGGGUGCAAGCCUGAACCAGCCAUCCCGCGUGAAGGACGACUGCCCUAUGGGUUGUAAACUUCUUUUGUAUAGGGAUAAACCUACCCUCGUGAGGGUAGCUGAAGGUACUAUACGAAUAAGCACCGGCUAACUCCGUGCCAGCAGCCGCGGUAAUACGGAGGGUGCAAGCGUUAUCCGGAUUUAUUGGGUUUAAAGGGUCCGUAGGCGGACUUAUAAGUCAGUGGUGAAAGCCUGUCGCUUAACGAUAGAACUGCCAUUGAUACUGGAAGUCUUGAGUAUAUUUGAGGGUGCUGGAAGAAGUAGUGUAGCGGUGAAAUGCAUAGAUAUUACUUAGAACACCAAUUGCGAAGGCAGGUUACCAAGAUAUAACUGACGCUGAGGGACGAAAGCGUGGGGAGCGAACA
rnacentral:rRNA from 1 species